CAAAUUGUCUGGGUUUCUCACCACUGUUAGUGCAUAAGUUUAACAAUCUGUCGACCACCACCGUCCACAUCUCUGUCGCUAUCCUCACCGAAUCCCGAUCACCGCUGCACUUCCCACCCUUUUCCUUCCCCCCUCUUAUCACCUCAGGGCGUUUCCAUCCAGAGUCAGUGAUUUCUCAUCUGAUAAAAGUUGAGUAUUCGCUUGUACAAUUUGAAGUCGGUGAUUAAAUUCGGUGCAAGAUGUGAAUUGAUAUAGAGAGAAAUAUAUGCCAGUACCUUUUUUAUUUCUGCAAAAUGCUUGUUACAUUGAUGAUUGAAAGAUGUUUUUCUUUUUCUAUUUUUUAAUUCAUCUGUUUGUAUAUACGCAUUGGUUCAAAAUUUUAUUGAAGUGAAAUCAAAUAGAAAUUUGGUUGGA